AACUGACUAACUGACUAGCUGACUAACUCACCAACUGACCAACUGAUAAAGUGAAUUUUCCAUUUGCCGCCUCAGCUGUUGGCAGUUCGAUACUCGAUCGCCUCUCGCUCGGGCCACAUUGCGCAUACGCCGCGUAAUCCGAUAGAACAGUAGCCGGUGUGCGAGCUGUGUGUGCCGCUGAGUGUGAAACUCUUUGACAAUGCCCGUCAAGGUGUCAAAGCUUCAAACCGCAUUCAGCCAGCGAAGACUACGUAAAUCAAGACGUUAGUUCAUAAAUUCGAUUCUCAGUGUGCUCAUCUACGUGUGUCAGUGUGUCUGUCUGUGUGUGCUGGCAUGUGUGUUUGUGUGUGUUUUUGUAAAUUAUUUAAUAGCUUGAUUGACAACCGUGAGCUAAGAGCUAAGAGCUAAGCCGAUAUCCGACCAUAAGGUCUCUGCUUUUCGAUGCCUUGCGAUGCUUUGCGAUGCCUUGGUGAGAUCUUGCGAUGCCAAUCAAAGCAAAUCACAACACAACGGCACAACAACAUUUAGCAUCGCAGCAUCAGCGCCACAACAACAGCAACAACAACAACAAUAACAGCAUCGCCACCAGCGCAAAAUUGCCUGCAUUCAUUUAAAUGGCAAAUGGCAAAUGGCGAACGGCAAACGGCAAACGCACACAGAAAGACAUCAAAUGAAACAGAAGCGGCAAAGUGACGGCUUUUGACUGCAUAACAGCCCAGAAAGUAUGCACACACUGAGAGAAAAUAGUCGGCGCAACAUAUCGGUGACUUUGGAGUUCAAUUUUGAAUGUUUCACUAGUAAUAAUGCGCCGCUAACAGCUAAAAAGCAUAUUUAACAAGCUGCUAAUAAUAUUAUAGAACUUUAAUUCUUAGAAAAAUGCUUUAGUAUUUAGUACUGUAAUAUUUAUGUACUGUAAUAAAAAUAGGGAAAUAUGUGGUAAUUAUAUAUCCACAAA